UACGGAGGGUGCAAGCGUUAUCCGGAUUCACUGGGUUUAAAGGGUGCGUAGGCGGAUUGGUAAGUCCGUGGUGAAAUCCCCGAGCUUAACUUGGGAACUGCCGUGGAUACUAUCAGUCUUGAAUAUCGUGGAGGUAAGCGGAAUAUGUCAUGUAGCGGUGAAAUGCGCAGAUAUCAGGAGGAACACCGGUGGCGAAGGCGGUGCUCUGGGCCGGUACUGACGCUGAGGAGCGAAAGCGUGGGUAGCAAACAGG
rnacentral:rRNA from 1 species